GCUCGCCGGGAGGGCGGCGCGUGCCGCUAGAUGACGGGUGGAGGGAGGGAGCUGUGGUGCGAGGGAGACGAAGCGGCGGGGGAAAGACUAAUUCCAGAGAAUACCGAGUGGUUUGGGUCGGUAUCGAGGGUGAAGGGGUGAGGGUGGAAUGAAUACCGGGUGGUAUUGAGUUUGAUUUCCAAUUCUGAAUUCGAGGACAUCCAAACAGUUGGCAUUCGGAGCUACCAAUUCCAAUUUCCAAUUCCGAGCUCCAAUACUAACAUCCACACAGGGCCUAAGAAUUUUUGUCCAUAAAUGCUGAACUACAAUUAAAAUCUAUCAAAACAACAAUUUUUUUUAAUUAUAAGUCAUGUAUGUCCUCUAAAUUUUUUAAUAUAAGUUAUGUACGUCCUCUAGAUAUUUUAAUGUAAGUCACAUGUAUCCUCCAUGUUUAAUAAACUUACUCUAAAAAGGAAUUUUUCUUAUAUCAUCCUGAACUUCAAAAAUGUAUAUUUGACUUUGUAAGAAGUUAGGUCUCACAAAUACACUAUAAGUUAUACCAAGCCUCAUACUGCGCCUCUAAUUUUAUGCAGUACAAACUAUAGCUUUUGACCAUCGAUCAUGGAGGAUUUAAUUUAAGGCCCAGCAUAUUGGAUAAAAGGAUUCUAACCUAAUAAGAAUAUAAGUAUUCUUUCGAAUACCUUAAAAAUUAUAAGAGAAGUGUUUGAACAAAUUUACUUAUAAACUAAAACUUAUUCUUACACGUUUGAGAAAAAUAAAAUAAAUCAUAUCAUCUGAUUAAUCUAUGCCACAUAACGCCGAUUGAAAACAAAUUAUGAUACAUUUUUUUCAAAUCAUAUCUUACUAGAGGAACACCAAUUUCGUUAUACAAGUUGUGAAGCAUUUAGUGUAGAUUACCACCAGAAUGGGUGAAAAGGGGAUUCUUUACUCUUUUAAUGCUUCACUUGGUUAUCGAAAAGUGACGUGCAGCUAAGAUAAAAUAGGUCAUUACACGAUGUCAUGUAUUUGUUUAGUACUUUAAUUUUAUAGCUAUAUUCAAGUUUACCAAAGGCUAUGAAAUCACACUAUGCUACAGGAUACAAAAUGUAAAAAAAAUCUAUGACUAUGGCAUUUAAUAUUUUUCCAAGUUGAAUAAAAUAUAUUACUAUGAGUCCUAUGUGUGUUUAUGAUAGGACUUUAGUAUAAUAUAGAAUAUUUUUCAUAUGUUUUUUCCAUCCACGAAAUUGUUUUGAUACUCUGCUGUAGUUAAGCCAUCCACCAUGUAGAAUUAAAUUGUGACUCGGUUAGCACUUCGUUUUUUAACUAAAAAACUAUUUAGGUACUCAAAUUAACUAAUGUAAUUUAUACAUUUUGUAAAACUUUUCUAACAUACAUUAAUUUUACAUUCUAUUGAAACAUUACAUACACAUAAAUGACUAUAAAUUGUACCAAUUAAAGUUAUGCUAAGCGUAGAUUCACUUAACCUAACUUUAACAAAGAAAUAAGCCCUAAAAGUUUAAAUUAUUUAUUACUGCACCAUUUAACCCAUUCUCCAUAAAGAAUUUAAAUUAUUUUCUACUGCAACACUUUAGCCAUAUAAACACCACCUUUAUUGGAGGUACAAUGCACAUAUAGCAUAACCUAUUAAAUAAAUCUAAUAUGUAUACAUAUACAAAAUUGCAACAUGCACAUGACAAAUCUACAUUUUAAAUGAAAAAUUAUCCAUAUAUAUACACCUUGGCAGCUUGGCCAGUGAUAGAAAUACCAUUAUGUUGUUUUUAAAGAUUUUAUGUGAUAAACAUAUUAUUGCUAGUUUCUUAUAAAAUAUUGUAUGAACAUUACUAAACAACAGAGCUUGAAUACUAUUUUUUUCUUGGUACUCAAUCACCACAGACCAUAUAACUUGUCUAUUCUCCCACCGCAUUCCCUUAUAAGUAACCAUUUUUUUGCUUGUUCGGCAUUCGUGGUACUCAAUGUUGGCAUGAUUGGACAAAAUAUCCAACGAGCGAUGCAUGUGUGCCUGUGCCCGUAAUCGAAUGGACAAACGUAUAAGUCAAAGUAACAUUGAUGCUAACUCAUGAACUCUAUAAAAUCCGCUUUUAGUGUUUUCAUGACCUAAGUUGGACCCAUUUCACAAACCUACGAUAUAGCACUAAAAAGUUUGAAGAGGAUGGAUAUCGAGUGCAAGUAGAAAACAUAUAUAUAGCAUUAUAAGGUGAAAAUGAAACUUCCACUAGAUUAUGUGAGAAUAGUGUGAGUCCAAUGACUCACAUAGCUAAGCAUAAAAUAAAAUUAUCUUUUUCUGCAUCACCAUGUUAUGCUGAAAUUUGACAAUAAAAGAUAAAUAUAAGAUUUUGUUAGCAACCAUAUUAAGUGGACACAAAAAGACAUUCAAAAAUGUUUUGUACCUAUGCCUGGCACAACACGCAUAGAAUUUUAACAACAAAACAAUGAAUAUGCAUCAUUCAAUGAAAAUUGAAGCAAAACAUCACAUCGCAACAACGAAGUUAGUGAUCAGUUUUGUGUGAAACUGGAAAAAAGUAGUUCACACCACCACUAUUAGUGAUCAGUUUUGUGUGAAACUGGAAAAAAGUAGUUCACACCACCACUAUGAGUAAGUUCAAUUUGAGAUUAUAAUCUUUGUUUCUUGUUUGCAUUUGAAUUUUAUGAGUUUAUUUCAUCAAGUCUUUUGUCCUUGCUAACAAGCGUGAUUGUUUUCACGUCUAUGGUUCUUUCUUCUCUAUUUUGGUUCUCUUAUUCUAGUUAAGACAAAUAUAUGAAGCUAGUUUGUAAAUUCACGAGAACCUAAGGUUGGAUGUUUGAAUCAUAGGGAAAGACAAAAUUUCCAAUUGUGGAAAAUUUAGAAUUAUACUAUCUGAAUUUAUGCAUUGCACCAUGAAUAUGUUCUUUAAAAGUUUUAUGGAUCUUCCUAUUGCUUAUGUAGCAUAUGAUUAGUCUUGUUUAUGUAGAAUGAGCCUAUGUUGUUCACGGUUAGUUAAAAUUUUAGAAGUUAAAUAUAAUCUGGUCACAUUGUUAUUUAUACUAUUGACCUUAGGUCCCUAAACCAAGUAUUGCAACUUCCUAAUUUGUUGGUGCACUCCAUAGAUUUAGGGGGCGUUUUCUUCCCGUGUCUUAUUUUUAGCACGUGUCACAUCGAAUGUUUAGAUACUAAUUAGGAGUAGUAAACGUAGACUAUUUACAAAACCAAUUACAUAAGUGGAAUCUAAACGGCGAGACGAAUCUAUUAAGCCUAAUUAAGCCUCGUCUGUCUAUGAAAACUUGCUAUGCCCGACAGUGGUGGUGUUCGUGAUCAAGUGUAUGAAAGUACUAGCCUCAUACUUAGUAUGGGAUGAGGAAGCCUAGUACCUGAUUGAACCUANNNNNNNNNNNNNNNNNNNNNNNNNNNNNNNNNNNNNNNNNNNNNNNNNNNNNNNNNNNNNNNNNNNNNNNNNNNNNNNNNNNNNNNNNNNNNNNNNNNNGGAAGUCACUGUCAAUCUCACGCCAGGGGAUGAGCGCUGCUAGGGCGUGAGCAUAUGGACAAUUCUCCCUCAUGUGUAGCGAGAAUUGGAUCGGCCUCACUAAAUCUAAGGUCUGCUCUACUUAUAAGAUAAUGGCGGUGACAACUGACAACAGGAAUUCAAGCACUAGAUGUCCAUACAAUAGGUCAAGUAUUCACCACAAGAACACGGUUAUCUUGUUACAAAGGUAGCAGAUCGUUCGCACAAUAGCUGCUGAAUUAGGCCAUCACUACCAGAUAUCAAUAGUAGCAAAAUGUGGAAAAAGCAUGGACUAAUUAGGCUUAAUAGAUUCGUCUCGCCGUUUAGAUUCGUCUUAUGUAAUGAGUUUUGUAAAUAGUCUACGUUUAAUACUCCUAAUUAGUAUCUAAACAUUCGAUGUGACGGGUGCUAAAGUUUAGCAAGUGGAAGAAAACAUGCCCUUAGCAAUCCAAAUCCAAACUUUUACUUUAAGAGGCUUCCUUCUAGAGAAAAUUUCAUGAAAUCUUUUUUCAUAUUUCACUUUGAUACCUCUUGACGCCUCCAAUGGUUGCUUAGAUUCUUGGUGUAGUUCAUUUUUUUGACAAAUCUUUGAAAAACUUGUUGCAAUAUGAAUGGGACUCUCGUUUUCUAUUUUAGGCCAAUUCCUUGGUUAAGUCUUUGAUGAAAGAAAAAUCUCCUUUAUCCUUUGUCGUACAUGUGUCAGUAUGGAGUUUCUGUCUUUGCCUUACUCUCUUGUUAUGGAUCUCUUGAUUUUAUACUCGGUACGGAUGCUACGAUAGCAUUCCAUCAUCUUAUUGGUCUUUGUCUGAUUACAUCUCAUCUGAGAUGGCGACACACCAUUUUAGGUUCUUCGGCCAUAGAAAAGCACGGAUUGUUAGAUCAAUUAUGACAUUCAAAAAGAUUCAAAUCCUCCAAGCCAUAAUUUGUAGCCACAUGCUACAAGGUUCUCAAGUCCGCCUGCCAGCGCAGGGAUGGGCAUUUUCUAGGAUGCUCAAGGUUCCCACCAAGUUUUUCUAUAUAGGCUUCUUCCUUCAACUCUAAAAAUUGGAUGGGCAUUUUCUAGGAUUCUCAAGGUUCCCACCAUUGAGUUUUUCAAUAUAGGCUUCUUCCAUCAACUCUAAAAACUUGAUAAAAACUUGUUGCCUUGAUUUCGAAUCCAUUUGAAAAAACAAUUCAACUGUCACAAGAUAUAUUUCAAUAAUACCUAUCACAUCUAUUGCCAAAACUCAAGGCCUCUAAAACCAAUUUCUAGGUGGUAUAGUGCAAAAUUCAAAUUGUUGUUCUCGGGUUAUGAUAAUUGAAUCAAGGGUCUCUUUAGAAGAAAGAGGAGGGAAUCCAAGGUUCAACGUGCACAAAUUUUAUUUUAGAAAUCUGAAUAUAAUGUACUAGUUUGAUCGAAUAUAGGGUUCCACAAUAUUCAAUACUCUUUGACACAUACUCUCUCUCUCUAAGCUUAUCUACAUAGAGCGUAAACAUUUACAUGGUGCCUAGUAGUUCCUAUGUCAUACGUCAAACUAAAACCAAGGGUACCACAUUGGUUUAGGAUCUAAUCCCACCUCUUUUUCAGAGAGGUGGAUGCAAAUAGAGCUGAUGCCCUGCUGCCAUGUUUUUCAUUUUCAGCAUAGAAGGUACAUAUGAACGAUAUCAGCGAUUUGCGGGAACAGGAAGAAAUGUGAAUGCAGGAGACCGAAAUAACAACGAUGUAAAGAUCUCAAUAUGGCUUUUUAUAUGCAUAACUUAUAAUCCAGUUUUAUAUUUGGAAGCAAGACAUGAUAGUAUUAUGAAAUCCAUCAGUCACUAUUACUACACUUGCCAUCAGCCCAUCACUGUGUUCUUUUUUAGUGAAGUACCUGUACAGUUUAUGUAUGAGAGCAGAAAAGAGCUAUAAUAUGACUGUUCUGAUAAAUGUAGCUGACUAAAAUUUUUGGCCCAGAGCCAGGAUGCUGCUGCUUCAGACUUGCAAACCAGGCUUAAGGAGAUCGCAACAUGGUAACUCUAAAUUUCCACUAUUUCUACCGACUUUGUUUGUUUGUCCAUCAAUGGCAAAAAUUGAGAUGUAACAAACCUGCAGGUCUGAACAAAACAAUGCUAACGAGUCAGAUGCCAACGAACUAGAGAAACUGGAGAAACUGCUGACAAAUGCUUUGAGGGAUACCACAACCAAAAAGGUACACUUAAGUGGCUUUGUUUUCUGUCACUAUUGCACUUGAUUUAGAAAAGGGUCACUCCAUUAGUUCAGUAUGUUCGAAAAUGACAUGACGCAGCUGUUAUUUUGGCUUUGUGCUUUUCAUUUCAUUCUGGACACUAACUGUGCAUCUACUGAUGGUUUGUCUACACUUUAUUUGAUAUCCUGCUGACCAGAUAUUGCUAUUAUCCUGCGGUGCAUUGUUUGCUAAUGUUUCCUCCUUCCCAAUUUUCAAUCGGACAUGAGAAUAAUCAUCUAAUAAACAGAAAUACUGCACCUAGAGACAUUAAGUGUUGGUCCUUAAACUUUGGCCGGUGAUAUGCUGGCAACAGAGAAUAUAUGGAGCCAUGUUUGUUUAACUUUAGCUCGCCUUCAGUUGACAGUUUUUUAGAAUGUAGCCUAUGUAUCAGCUCCUUGUAUAUGUGCAAGUUUCAUCUUUAUGGAAAUGUGAGUACGUUCUUGACCUCCUUAAAGAAAAGGAGAAGAAAAAAAAAGGGCAUGCUAGUUCUGCUCAAUUAUGCAGUGAGAAAACCUGAUCUCAAUGCAGAACUGGUGGAAUUUUCAUGAAAAGCCCCAUCAGAGAGCUCAGCUCUUUGGUUAUCUAGGAACCAAAAUGCCAAAAAGAUCUUCACUAUAUUCUAAUUGAGCUUCUUUUUUGUAUGAUUGCGAUGACAAGUGGAUUUGGCUGCCUUUACUAUUCCAGAACAUUGGUAAGCUAGACACGGUAUAGGUGUAUAAGAAAUGGCACUCACAAGAUAUUGGCCUGAAGCUUUGAAACUGCAUCACUGGAACAUUGAUCAGUAUAAAGUUUGUUAGUGACCUCAAGAAAGGAUACUACUGCUUACUUUGGAUCAUUCUGCCUAAUUACUAGAUGCAAUUUAGGUCCUCCAGGCAUUCUGAUCUAGACUUUGCCUUUUCUGAUGUAAUGCAGAUGUUGACGAAACAAAAUAAUGGUGGUGCUGGUGGAAGUACAAGCAGCCAGAACAGCAGUGGACCUAGGAGACAGGAUUAAGGAGUGGCUCCCAGCAAAUCAGCACAGAGCAAAGGCGCCCUGACUUCUGUGCUACUGGCAAAUGAAAUGGGGUGUGCGUCUGUUGCUACCAGCAUCUCCUACUAUCGCUGGGUAGCUGAGAUAUGUUGAGGUCGCUCGCUGCUGGCAAGGUGUGCCGGGAAGGGAAUUUCAAUAACAGGAUUCGCAAAUGGUUGCGGCCUUGCCAAACCUGACCUUAUGUUGUACCAUGCGAUUCCUAGAAUUGUGCUUGCCGAGUGAUUUUUUUACUGGUUGUGGGCUUAUGUAACCUUGCGAUGUUUGCUUGGAUCUGUCAAAUAUGCAGUGACCCUCAAGGAACCGUGGUUUCAUGCUCCUUGUCUCCUGUGAUAGCAGGUGGUUAGCAACGUUUGGUUAGCAGGCCUGGCUGUGAGUUGGGCUACUUUGAUGUUGCCGUCGAAUCCAACAUCUAGACCAGGUUCUUUUUUUCCCCCUCAUAAUCUUCUUCCAGCACAAAAUUUGUCACAUGUUACCACUAGCGGCAGUCGUUGUCUCUUUGGAUUACUACUUUACCUUGACAAGAGCGGGGAGCAUGAACAUGUUGCGCUUUUUGAGUAUGCACGUUGAUUCCCUAACAGCUGGGGGGGGGGGGGGGGGGGGGGGGGGUGCCGGGAAUCUGCACCUAUUCCGUACAUGAACUGCAACAGCAUGAUGCCAUGCGGAAGAUAGCGAAAGCAUAACCCUGGUCCUGGCACACCAGGUGACUUCUUUUUCUCGAACAUGGCUCCAGGUGAGUUCAUCUUUUGAGUCUUGACCAACACAUCAAACAAGCUGAGAUGUGUUUGGGUGAGAAAGGUUGGGGAAGAACCUCAUGUAUACCUGACGCUGCACCUCACCAUAGAGCUGCAGGAAGAACGAAUGGCGAUGCCCGGCGACGACGUUUUGCUUGCCCACCCUUGCCUGGUUGACUCCCUGAUCCAUCACGGCCGUGCGAUGCCGUCGUGGAACGCUGCAUCGUGCGAGAGCAGAGCGAGACGGAGACGCCGCACCAUAUAUAGGUACACCGCGCACUCUGGCAGUGCGACGCGGUGACAAGCGUGCGCCCGUGUCUCGUUCGGCGGGCGACAAAUCACCACCACCGCCUGGGAGUGGGAGCUCUCUCCUCAGCCGGCGCAGCAGGUCGAUCAGUUGAUGCUUGGCCACCCUGCCUGAAGAAGAAUGCCGCCCAUCACGACCGUAAUAGUAAGACUCCGCAACGCCAUGCCGGACGCGCGGCGCAAAUCAAAGGGAAGGAACGACGAGCAAGCAAACCGUCCGCCCGCCGGCGACGACGUACCUCGGUACCUGCGCCUGCUGCGGCGGUGGCAAAGCCCCUCGCCGUCCCAUUUGUCCCCCGGCGGCUGGCACCAAGUGCCCCCCCUCUGUUUAUGUACAGCAGGCCGCUCGCGCGACGCGGUGAUGCGGUGCGCCGUGCGAUGGGUCCCGUGUCCCGCCGCGCUCCCCUGCGUCGGCACGCGAAAAGGCCAGGGGUACGGCGCCCGCCGCGGUGUCCGCGCGCCAUUGCGCGGCCGCGGCCGCUUUUCUGGCGCACAAGUGCCCGCGGCGACGGGUGGCGUGGGACCGCGCCCGCCCCGCGCGCCCGCCGCGACACGUUGGCCUUGGACCCGGUCCAAGCGGUGGGUUUUACGGGGAUGCGCGCGCAGCUGGUCUCCCUCGGCAGGUGGUGUCGUCACGUCGACGGACGGCCAGAUAGAGGAGAGGAAGGCGGCGGCCGCGUUAACCCUUGGCGAUCACGGGGAGUGGAGCCGAGCACAUGGAGCAGGGCUUCGAUCGGUCGCCGCCGGCAUGUGGUGCGACAGUGCGGCAUGCUCCCGCUACCAAUAUCAUCAUCAUUUUUUGAUACCUCGAAAGCGGUUUGAAGCUUCAGUUUCUGUUUUCGUUUUCUUCCAUGCUCUCUCAGUUCUCACGACGGGCCUGCCUGUUCGGUCGUGGGUCCAAUCUUAUCUUUCUGGGCUUAGUCCGGCCCACUUUAACUUCUCUCGAAGCGAUGGUUGUCCAGUACAGGCCCGCCUGGUACUGUCAUCCCGACCCGGCCCAAAAAAUAAAUACCCGACGUGGGGUCGUAGGGACUAGGGGGGACACCACCGAGGGCGAAAUGGAGAAAAGUGGAACUAGGCAACAGGAAAAGCGACCGGGACCAAAAAAAGGAACCAAAUGCAGCGCAAAAAAGCGCGAAAACGGAAAGGUCGAGCCGUCCUCUUAUCUUCCACGUCACCUCGCGCUUGCGUCCCGACACGUCAUCCUCCUACCUCUUCACUUAUCAUCAUUUCCUAGGCGGCUAGGCCUCACGCCCUCACCUUUAACCCUCGACCCAAACUGAAUAUUCUCACCAUCAAAAAAAUAAAAACUGAAUCUUCUAUACGCUAAAAAUAACGCGCGAAACACGGUGGCAUGGGCCGGCCUGUCAGAUAAGCGAUAACACCAAUCAAACGAUGCGGCGCGGCCAUGACUCGGCGCCGGAUAGGGAUGGGCCGCGUCCCAUUUUUAUAAAUCCGUUCCACCAGUCACGACCACCCUCCCAACGCCCACCCAGUCUGGCCCAUACCGCAGCCCACCCCACCGACGCGUGGGGCCAAGCACUGGCUUCCCUACGUGUCUGUGCCCGUCAGUGGCGUCGGCGUAGCUUUUCGGUUGCCUCGCCUUCCGUGCGUGGACCCGGCUCUGACACCGGGAGGAGCAGUAGGCGGGCCCGGUUUUGUCCACUGGACCACAGCCCACGGGGGUUCUAUAAAGACCUGUUCUGUUCUUCCUCCUGCUUCCCUCGUCUCCCCCUUUCCGCGUCGCGUCGUCUCCUCCGAUUCCUCUUCCUCCCUCCCACGCGCUCAAUUGAUCGGUCGCUGCUCGCCGAAGCUCGAGUCAGAAUCCUCGCCUCUCCAUCCAAAAACAUGACGGGCACCGCCGGCGGCGACGGCUGCGGCGAGCAGUACUCGCGGAUGAUCCGGGAGCUCUGCGCGCUGCUCCUCACGAUCGUCUCCCCCUCGCCGGCGGCGCUGGGGCGGCCGGCGCCCGGGAUGUCGCCGGCCGCGGCGGCGGCCAUGCUCCUCGGCGCGUCGAUGGCGCUCAUGCUCUGCGGUUCCGUCACGUUCGCCAUCGGCCUCCUCCUCAUGCCAUGGGUCGCCGGCCUCGCCCUGCUCUUCGGCUUCGCCGGCGCCGUCUCCACCCUCUCCUCCGGAUUCUUCGGUAAGGACGCCGCGCUCCCAUGCAAGGACGAGACGCGGGGGCGGAUCUGCUCCCCGAUCGGCUCCGACAUGCUCGUAGCGUAGCUCCAGCAGCAGCAGCAGCAGGGUAGAUUUGAUUUCUUUGUCCCUGAAUAUUAUUAGGAGUCAAACAGAGUUGAUGAUCCCUGUAAAAAUGCACCCUUUUGUUGUACACCUAAAUCCCCGGAGAUGGUUGCUUGUUGAUUGAAGGAAACGUCACAAGAAUUAAGUGAUUGUUUAACCCCAUGUUCUGAUUUGUUACCACAAGCAUUUCUUUAUUUAUUUUUUUCUUGUUCUUGAGGAGAAAUCAAGAUGCUAAUACCAUUUUUCUAUGACAACACCAAUGAUAUGCUACUAGUGAACACCUAGAUUAUUAAGGAAAAGAUUCAAAAGAUGAGGGUGACAAAUCUUAUCGUUCUGUUCAUCUGCCAGUUGCUUGGUCAGUAGGAUCACGAAACAUGGUAGCGUGUGAGCUACGGAGCAGUACAAAUUUGCUACCGGUUACCUCUGUCCGUACAUAAAAAAGAGAGAUGUGUGUAGAAGCAGCCUGUGCUGAGGGGACCUGCCGGACAGUGAUGCGAGUGUUUUGAGCGAGUUCGUCAGCUGUGAUAGAGAAGUAACGAGCAUGUGGCUCACGAGCUGGCGAUUACGUGUAAAAGUGUAGCGGGGAUAGUUUGCUCGUCGCCAUCAGAUGGUAGCUGGUAGGGAUCGGAUCAUGCGUCUUGCCUGAGCUCUUUGCAACACCACUUGUUAGGUCAGGAUAAGAUGCAAUCUCUCAUCCCAACACAAGUGCAGUUGUUAAGGGAUGACAGCGAUCCCUCACGGUUGGUUUUCGCUUGGGGAAGAACUCCGGAUGGUUAACCUGAUCAUGUUGUUAUUUGCUUGGACAGCGUAGUGUGAAUUACUGUCACCUGUGUAACUAGUUUUGGGGCAUCAUAAUUGUACGUUGACUGACGACUAGCAUCUUUGACGUAGAGUACCAGGAUGUGACACUAGCCACCUGUUUCCGUCACGGCCGCAGGAGGAAGAAAUGUUUGAUUUGAGAAGCACGUCUCAGCGUUCAUCGAGUAGCGCUCCGGGAUGAAGCAUCGGUCGUUGGAAUAUACGGGCUUGGCCCAUUUAUUUAUUCAAUUAAAAGAAUUAAAAGUCCAGUAAUAAAAACUAAAGAGUUAAGUGUUUAGUCCACGUGGGAAUUUGAAGAGAAUCUUAAUUGACUUAAAUGGUGGACUCUGUAUACACCAAUUGUGAAGUCAAUAAAGAAGAUUGGCGAGCGCGCGCGCUCGCUUGCCUCGCUGUGGCCGUGUCGUGACGAGCCGAGCGAGCGAGCGAGCGAUGCGACGUGAUGUGUUGCAGUGCGGUGAACCUUUUGCCAAUCGUCAGAGUCAUUAAUUGAAAGAAUUCACUCCAGUAACAGCUAAGGAAUAAACUAUGGAAUAUUCCAAUGGUUACUGGUUUGAUUGCAGUAGUUUGAUUGCCUGGUUUGAUUGCAUUUGAUGGCUAGGCGAAUUGAUUGUGUUUGAUGACUGUGUUGACUGCCGGUGUCCAGGUUCAUCCCCACUCUCUCACUACUCGCCUAUAUAAGACGCCCUCCUCUUCUUCAGGAGACCUCUCUCUUUUCCCUAUCUUUUGCAUUCCCAUGCUAGGCACUGCGCGCAUAAGUUCUAACAAGAGCAGAGCCUCGGGAACCUCGCCUUCAGCUGGAGAUCCUGCUCCGGAUAGGUGGGCGAUGAGGUUUUUGGGAGCGUUCAACGCGACUGCUUGCUCCCUCCCUGUUCGUUUGCAACCUCUACAGCCGACCCCCGCAACGUCUACUUUCUGGUGGCCGAGGACUUGUUCGUCUGCAACGUCUUCUUCCUGGUGGCCGCGCUGAUCGACUACGUCUUCUUCUUCCUGCUACCUCCCGGAGGCCGUUCGAGGGACUACGCUGCAUCGACCUCUUUCGGCGUCUCGUUUGUACGACUACAUCGACUGAGGCCAUCCCACGAUUAGUACGACUAAUCCAGAUGGUAACGACGCAUCCGGUGCCUUCGGCACUGGCCCCGCCCCAGGGUACAUCCUAAAUCAUCUGUGCCUAUUUUUAUUCUUGUUUAUUAGAUGUUUAAACUUGAACACUGGCACAUAUUAUUUAUCACUGAAUCACUCAACAUAUUUAUAAUAAUAUUUUAUAUAUUUAAUUUUAGAAUUAAAAUAUACCAAAAUAUGCCUAGAAUUCUAACAUCGGUUUGGUUUCUUUUUUCUUCUUUAACACACUGGCUAGUUCGAUUCAGUAAUGUUUCACUUCACUUGUUUUCCUUUUUUUUCUACUUUUGGUUUCUAGCUCAGUAUUAGGCAUAUUCCAGCUUCCGAAGAAGUUUAUUUAGUUCCUGCAGGUGCUGAGAUAUGCUUUGCGCUGACCAUAUCUUCGUAUUUUGUAACGCAGAAGAUUGAGAAAACCAACCCUCUUUUCCUAUAAUCUGACAUAAAGGACACCCUCCAACAGAUUGAGAAAACCAUCCCUUUCCCAGUAAUUUUUUCUCAAUUGAGAAAAACCAUCUUCCAAUCCCUUUUCCAUACCGUCGUCCAGCACCCCGCGCCAGCCUUGCCCCGCCGGCGAAGCCACCCCCGCGCCACCUGCGGGACGCCGGAGUUCCUGGCCUGGUGUGCUGCCGGCAAGAGAGAAGAGAGGGAGAAUAAAAAGGUGAAAAAAAAGAAAAAUGAAUGUGCCACUGACAUCUUGGACCCACCUGCUAGAGGAGAUGUAAAGGGUAUUCGGAAAAUCAAUCUGCGGGAGUACCUCUCCACAAUAUUCUUAGAUUGUGGAGUUGCUCUACGGAGUAUAUAUCUUCAGGUUGAUAUGGGCGCCAGUAGUUGCAUGUGGACAACUUGGAAUUUUUCAGAUGAGUUGAUCGACAAGCAUUAUCCAUUGCUUGUUGCAGGGCCGCUAUUGGCACGCAAUCAGAAGAUUUGGCAGUAGGAGGACAUUGUUCUCUGCAGGUUCCUCUGUUUCUGAACAAAUGCAACGAGCCUAGUUGUCUGAGAAUCAGUUACCUGAUGCAGGUGAGUUGUGUGAUCACGUAUUCCUCUCUGGCUCUCUCCGAGUCCGAGCUCCGAGCUAGAAACAAUUUGCAUCAUCUGCAUCCCUUCUGGUUUCAGGCUCCAGGUGACUGCUCCACUGUGCCAGGCGUCUCAGAGGAAGGGAGCAAGCAUCUCAUCUGUAAGGCCAGCCAGCCAAAACGCGUUGCCUUUAAUCACUUUUCUCCUUGGUAAUCUUGCUAGCCAUUUGCUGAACAACUAUUUCCUUUGGCCUAAAGCCCUAAACCGCUGCAAAGGAGCACCUCUCUGGAGCCCUCUUCAGACUGUAAAGCGCGCGAAGGCAUCUCGCUGCAUGCCUCCUGUCCAGAUGUAUUCUCUCGACCUUGCUUCAAGCACAAGCAGGGCACGCAUUCCUUCCUUCUUCCCCCCUUCCUUCUCCUUCUCCACACAGCCAGCCAACGUUAAGCAACCUCACUACAUAUUGGCCUUGUACAUUCUUGUAGCUACCUUCUUCUUGCUGCAUCCAUUGGCAUUGGCACACAGAUACACCGGCUGAUCGAUACACUGGUUGGUUGAGCUGCCGAGAAAAGCGAACCUCUCAGCGGGGGAGGAAGGGAUCGAGUCGACAUGAACGCCGGCAUGUCGCCGCGGCCGAGCACGGACUGGGGCCCGAUCAUCGUGGCGGUGAUCCUGUUCGUGGUGCUCUCGCCGGGGCUGCUCUUCCAGCUGCCCGCGCGGACGCGGGUGGUGGAGUUCGGCAACAUGGGCACCAGCGCCAUCGCCAUCCUCGUCCACGCCGUCAUCUUCUUCUGCCUCCUCACCAUCUUCGUCGUCGCCAUCGGCGUCCACGUCUACGCCGCCUAGCCAAGCUCGCGCGGCCAGCUCGGUUCUCAGGCUGCUUUUGACAUGGUGAAUCGGUGAUGGUGUGCGCUUUGUGUAGUCCCUUGGUAAUUUGCUCGUUUUAAUUGCCCGGUUGUAUUAGCACUCAUUUGAGCUGGGGGCAGUGCAGUUGUCCGAUGAGGAUUUAGUUGUUCAUGGACACAAACUUCAAUUUGCUUGGCUUCUGUUUCUGGCAACAACCCAAUGUUUCUGUUGAGAAUUAGAGGAUGCUGUGCGUUCUGUUGUUCCUUCAUACUGUUUGCCAGAUGGUAGCUUAGUGUUAAUUCGCUUCGCAAAUCGCAACCACCAUCACAGGAGAGUAGAUUUCCAAAAUGCCAGGUCAUAUUGACCGAACCAGCAUAAAAUGAUUGCGGGUCUGCUGCUUUAUUAGUAUAAAAAAAUGCACUUUUUUUUCCACUGGAAGCAAAAUCAGGCAGGUCAAUGCUCACUCCCACCACAGACCAUCAGAGGAAACCUUUCGGGCCAUUACCGGGCCGGGCCACCACCAUGUUUACGUGUAAAAUAAUUGAAUAAAUAAUCGGAUCGGGGGCUGAGCUCGGCAAACUGUUUUUUUUUUUUCAAAUCGGCACCACGCCUGGUCCUUUUAGCGAAUCAGGCUCAGACCGGGCUGGGCCUCGUUUGCUGCACCGUACACUCUCUCUCUCUCUCUCUCUCUCUCUAAAAAAAAACACACCCCGCCCGUAUCACCACCCUGCCCACAAGCUACCUCCACCAUUAGCCUUGCCUUCCUUCCCCAAUCUUUUCUUUAAAUCCCCAAAUCCUUUAACUCUAUUCUGACGGAGGGGUUUGAAGUCGGCAAAGGUAAAAGACAAAGAGGCGAAUCGAGUAGCAGUCGAAAAGAAUGGUGAAUUUUUUAGUGAGAAAAAUACUCGUACGUAGAUAGUUGUAGGUGUCGUAUAACAAAGUCAUAAAAAGGAUGAUGCUAAACAAACUCAUUGUAAAACAAGAUGAGCAAUGGAACUAAGAAUAGUUUAACUGGUUAGAUUUUUUGUUCCAUAAGCUUAAAGUUCAGUAACUUGUUUUGAUUUGAAUAAAUGACAGCAUUUUAUAGUAAAAAGCCUUUUUAUAUAAUGAAUUGCGAAUUGUUUAUGAUAAAAUUUCGUCAAUUUCAAGAUCCGCGUAUUCAAACGUCUGCGUUUCGGUGGGAAGCAACGGCGGCCUCCGAGGCAGUGAGAUUCCGGCACAAGCAACGAACCCGACGCAACCCAGCAACGAACGAAACGGUACCGUGUGUCCGUGCCCUUCCUCCCCCCGCAUCGCGCAGACUGGCCACCGCCCGGUCCCACCCGUCAGCCUCCCCAUCCACACGCGCGGACCCACGUGGCCCAACCCUUUUGCGCGCAUCAACACGUACACGGGAGGCCCAGCCAGCCCAACCAAAUCAAUCCACCUUUCCAGCACCCCUCGAGCAGGAAAAAGGAAAUUUCCGAGAAUUUCCAUUGGCCGAAAAAAAUUCAGCAGCAGGCCGCGACCUCCGCUCCCGUCUCCGGCUCCGCCUCCCCCCCUCCCUCCCCUUCCGCCCCCCAUCUUGUGGGAGCUCCCGAUUCGGGGGAGGAGGCACCGCACGCCGCCGCCGCCCCCCGCCUGCGCCGCCCGCGGAUCAGCGCCGUCGCCGAUCGGAGGGCCCCCUCGCUUCCCCCCCGGUGGGCGGCGCGCGGGGUGGGAGAUGGACGGCGGCGCGGGGGCGGCCGGGCACGGCCGGAGGAGCGUCUCCUCCUCCUCCGCUUCCAGGAGGAGGCUCCCGCCCGCCGAGAACGGCCACGGCCAUGACGGCGCCGCCGCCGCCUCCAGGAGGUCCUCCGCCUCCAUCUCCCGGGGCAACUCCACGUACGUGCUCCGACCCGACGCGUCGCCUUGCUCAUUUUUCGGUGCUAGGUUUUUGUUACCCGUAGACCGUAGCUGGUUGCCUCUCUCUGAUUGCGUCGUGGUUGGGUGAGGAGGAGCGUUCGGUUCGAGCGUUGCGUGAUGACCUGCUGUAGCUUCCAUGUCUCGCUUCCUUUGCAACCUAUAGGAGCUUCCUUAGCCUAGAUUCGAUUCUAUUUUUAUGGAAUCGAUGGAGGUUACGACAUCUAGAUUUGUACUUUCAGUUGCAAUAGAAACUGUUGAAUCCCAUUCGGCUGUUACAAGUUAAACCAUGCACAUACGCAUGGCUCUGUUUUUGGAGUUUUGUGUAGCGUAAACUGUACACAUUUCAACCAGAAGCAAUUGCCUGGCACCAAAACGACACUGAUCGCUGCUGCUUUCUGAUUGGUCAACCAUGUUUCUGCUGUGGAAUGGAAAAAACUUUGUGCCCAGGUACCCACAGCUGAAAAAUGCCUCCUCAUGUAAUGCUUUUUAGGUCACUGACCGGCGAGAGAACUGUGAAAAGGCUGAGAUUGUCCAAGGCUCUGACAAUACCGGAUCACACAACCGUGCAUGAGGCUUGUCGGAGGAUGGCCUCACGAAGAGUCGACGCUGUGUUGCUGACUGACUCCAACGCUUUGCUCUGCGGGAUCCUCACUGACAAGGUGAGGAAUAUGUGCCUCUUCACUCUACAUGUCUUUGCUGCUUUAGAGAUUCCUGAUUUCUCACUGUAUAUGCUGUCUUUUGACAAUGCUGACCAGGAUAUAACCACAAGGGUGAUUGCUCGUGAAUUGAAGAUGGAAGAGACACCGGUCUCGAAGGUCAUGACCAGGAACCCUGUAUUUGUGCUUGCAGACACGCUUGCAGUUGAGGCAUUGCAGAAGAUGGUGCAAGGUACGUGAAUGCUUUGACAUUUUUCGCGCACCUUACCUGCGGUUAUCUUAAUGUUCCCUGAAAAAUUUCCUUUGGUUCCAGGUAAGUUCAGACAUCUGCCUGUUGUGGAGAAUGGUGAAGUCAUUGCACUGCUGGAUAUUGCCAAGUGCCUGUAUGAUGCUAUUGCACGGAUGGAAAGGGCAGCGGAGAAAGGAAGAGCAAUUGCUGCUGCUGUUGAGGGCGUAGAAAAGCAUUGGGGAACAGCUGCAUCUGGUCUGUAGUUCACAUACUCCCUUACCUUUUCCAUCUUCAUUCUAUUUUUUUAAAAUAAUUAUGCUUUCAGCUUCACCCAACCCUUCUCAUUUUAUGUUUCACCUGUACUGACGACCUGUGUUAUGUAUAAAGUUUGCCUUCAUGUCUUUGGCAGUGUGCCGCUUUAAUCUUUUCUCCUUUUAUUUUGCAGGUCCUAACAAUUUUAUUGAAACUCUACGAGAGCGGAUGUUUAGGCCAGCACUGUCGACCAUUAUCUCUGAGAAUUCAAAGUAGGUAAUAUCCUUUCCUUUUCAAAUUAAGUGCCUUCUUGAGCAUUCAGAAAUAUAAGUGCCAGUUCAGAACAACUUAUUUCUUGAUCUUGAUUGCUUAGAGUGGUCACUGUUGCACCAACAGACAUGGUGUUGACAGCAUCAAAGAAGAUGCUGGAAUUAAAAGUGAGUUCAGCAGUUGUAGCCAUUGAAAACAAACCUGGGGGAAUUCUGACGUGAGUACCUUCUCUCAACCUAAUUAUAGUAACAGCUAAUUCUAGAUCUGUGUUAAACUAAAAGCCUUGCUUUGUUUUCUAUGACAGGUCCAGAGAUAUAUUGAUGCGUGUUAUCGCCCAGAAUCUUCCUCCUGAGUCCACUACAGUCGAGAAGGCAAGGCUCAUUAUAAUUAUCUUUGUAUUAUUAUGCAGUCACAUUUCUUAUUCUCUACCUUCGUCAACUAACCACCAUCAUGUUUGAAACUCCUUUCCACAGGUCAUGACUCAGAGUCCUGAAUGUGCUACAGUUGACACCCCAAUCCUUGAUGCUCUUCACACAAUGCAUGAGGGGAAAUUCUUACAUUUGCCUGUUCUAGACAGGGGUAUGUCUAUGAACCAUGAAUGAGCUAAAUCCAGCUGAUGUCUUUUGUUUGAUUGUUAAAGUAUGCAUGAUGUGAUGUGUGUUGUAUUUAUCCAGAUGGGAAUGUUGUGACUGUUGUUGAUGUUCUUCACAUAACUCAUGCUGCAAUUGCAACGGUGAGUGGCAACUUCCUUCUGCUUGGAUCUAGUUCUGAAUGUCUGGGUUAUCUUGUGCAUAUAAAUUAUGUCUUACUCCUAUGCGCAUGCUUUUCGGUUUGAGGUUAGAAGCCAUUUUUAGCUGUAAGAUAAUAGUGCCCACAAUACUUGGUUGUUUAGUUUGCAAAGUAAAGUCUCGUGAAUUUAUUGCAAUUUGUAUUAAUCAUUAUACACUGCUUGAUAGAAGUAACUGUAGUAACUUUCAGUAGACUGCAAGGUCUGCAAGUUUCAUGGACCAUUAUGUUCGUGUAUGUUUACUCUACGGGGCGUGCUUGAAUGCCUUAUUACCUUUUUGUGUCUAGGUCGGAAACACCGGGGCAGCUGGGGCAGCUGGAUCCGAGGCAGCAUCUGCCAUGAUGCAGAGGUUCUGGGAUUCAGCAAUGUCCAUUGGACCUCUAGAUGAUGACGAUGACUCCAGAAGGUCAGUAUUGCCCUUCCAUCCUGAACUUACACUCUAAUGGCUUUUGUGUGACUAAUUUACCUGGCAUUUUCUCAGUGAAGGAUCAACAAAAGUGGCAUCUGAGGCAACAGAUAUAGCAAGAUCUGCCUUUUAUCCAGCUUCUGGUUUAUCAAACAUGUUCGGGUUCAAGAUUCAGGACAAGCAAGGAAGGAUGCACAGAUUUAACUGCGGUACAAAUUAAAUAAUCUUUUUAGUUCGGUGAUUUAACUUGCUUUCUGAACUUCAUGCGUUUUGAAUGUCAGACACGAGCAGCUUGACGGACCUGAUAACUAGCAUUCUUCAGAGGCUCGGCGAUGACAUUGAUAGAAAAAAUCUACCACAAAUUUUGGUAAUUUGGCUGAAUCUACGUGCCUUUCUCAAUAUGUAACCAUACCCUCAUCGCUAUUUCAAAUAUCUAAGUUUUGUUCAUUUGUGGAACCAUUUCACAGUAUGAAGAUGAGGAUCAUGAUAAGGUCAUACUUUCAUCAGACAGUGACCUUAUAGCUGCUGUUGACCACGCAAGACAGAUCGGUUGGAAGGUAAUUUCCUAUUUUCAAGCAAAGAUGAAUAGAUGGCUGUUUUUCCUGCCAAGGAUGCUCAUAUCUAGGCUCCUCUUGCAGAGUUUGAGGUUGCACUUGGAUUAUGUUGGUGUUGGCCGCCGGAAGAGAGGCGGCGGUUCUUCAGAUUUCGAGUACGCUGGAAAGGAUGCAUGGGCAUCCGCGUACAGUGCUGUUGCCGCCGGUGCGGCUCUAGUUGCAGGCCUUGGGGUGAUGGCUUACCUGAAGCGAUCAGGUUAGGCUUCAAAGUCAAGCACGACAGGGGAGCACGCAUUUGAUCGUCUUGGUGAUACAAAUAUCAUUGAAAUGACCAGAAUGGCUGUGUAAUUAAUUCUUGUGAGGGAAAAGAAAGAAGAAAGAAAAAACUGUAAUAAUACUUCCCGGCAGUGGAUGACCGCCUGCAUACGUGUACACGGUGUUGGUCAAAGUUUUGGAGUCUCAAAGUCUUACCAUGGCUGUCAGUGUAUCAUAAAAUCACAUGAUGACUAUACAAGCGAGAGAAGCAUGAUUGUGCCUUCACUUGUGCUGUUUACCGUCAGGCUGAUCACUGAUGCAUGUGAAGACGUCUGUUUGAUCAAAUUCUGGUCGACCUUUCUGUGGCAAGUGCUCCUUGGGCUGCGAAUUCAGUGUCUUGUUGAUCCUGACUGCAAAUUCAGUCGUCUCUGACUCCUAGCAGCAGUUUUAUGGGGAACGGUUGUUAUACGGACGUGAAGUCGCAUGAGCAUUGAGCAGUACCGGACCUGGGCCUUUGUGUAUCAAGUUUUACAUGACCAUCAUAUGGCCCAACUUGGGACGUCACUUGCUCAUUUUCCAUUUCCCCGAGAACUAGGCGCCGCUGAUCUCACCGGUCACCGUAGUAGUAGCUGUUUUCUGCACGGCUGGCUGGGAUUAGCAUGCCGGCCUGCACUGCACUUGCUCUGGCCUCUGGGCACCGAUCGGCCAUGAUGCAUGGCCCUGCUGCUCCUGCUCCUAUCCAUGGCGCGCGGUACGGACGACAGUGGGGGCGAUAUACAUCCUGGUGCCAGCCACGGCGCUGCGGCAGAACCACUAGCCCAACUUGGCAUGGGCGUACGAUGCGGCGCGUGUUCCGCCGGCAGGGCUCAGGCAUCGGCAUUCGUCGGUGCGCCUGCUCCACGAUCCCAGCACAACGGCACGAGCCGGAGCCAGGAAAUGCAGGCGCAGCAACUCUCUACUACUAGUCGCUGCAUGCAUGUGCCGCCCGGCUGGCAUGGACCAGCAGCAGCACCACCCACUGACCGAGCGCCGCGCGGGGCGCCUGCCGUGCGUUACGUUGCUCUGGCAGCGCAGGAACUGGGCGUGCGACGCCGAGAACGACAAGGCCGGCGGAGGAGCCGCUGCACGCGCAGCAGCAGGCCGGGGGCCAGAUGUGUAGCGGAGCAGCGAGCCCCCCGGAUCUGUUACUACGGCCACCGCUUCUGUUACGGGAUCGUCGCAGGCGCCGAUAGAUAUGAUCGAUGGAGCAGGCCGUGCCCACCUCAUGAAGCUAUCAUCAGUACAGUACGUGCCGCCGGCCGCCGGCUCCGAACGAAGCUAGCUGUUCGUACCCACCUCGCGGCGUCCUCGCAGACGCAGUGACGACGAGGCGACGACGAUGAUGGACAGAACGACCGAGCUGAUCCAAGCCUGAGCAACCAGUUAUGAGCAGAUCCAGAUUAAAAUCUACGGGACCAAUUGCAAAUGGGCCCCUCCGCGCUGCUGGCGAGCACGCACUAUAGCAUGCAUAUGCAUGCAUUGAUCAUAGGCCUUGUUUAGUUGCCUGUUUUUUAUAUCCAAAAUUACUGUGCUAGCACUGUAGCACACUGUAGCAUUUCGUUGUAUUUGUGAAUUAUUGUCCAAAUAUUAACUAAUUAGGCUCAAAAGAUUCGUCUCGCGAAGUACAACCAAACUGUGCAAUUAGUUUUUGAUUUCGUCUAUAUUUAGUACUCCAUGUAUAUACCACAAGCUUGAUGUGAUGGGGAAUCUUCUUUUUGCAUAGUGUUAAAGUUGGGAUUUUGAAAGGCCCAUACAUGCCGCCAAUGUAUGAAGUGACCACCACACUACAUAGGAGUAGUAUCUAGCUGCUGCAGUACCUCGAGCGUUUGCAUACAGACAUACAAUAAUAGGGAUGUUUGGAUACUGGGUGCUAAACUUUAGCAGUGUCACAACGGAUGUUCGGAUGCUAAUUAGGAGGACUAAACAUAAGUUAAUUAUAAAACUAAUUGCAGAACCCCUGUGCUAAUUUGCGAGACGAAUCUAUUAAGCCUAAUUAAUCCAUCAUUAGCAAAU
rnacentral:lncRNA from 1 species